AGCGAACGCUGGCGGCAGGCCUAACACAUGCAAGUCGAACGAACUCUUCGGAGUUAGUGGCGGACGGGUGAGUAACACGUGGGAACGUGCCUUUUGGUUCGGAAUAACUCAGGGAAACUUGUGCUAAUACCGAAUGUGCCCUUCGGGGGAAAGAUUUAUCGCCAUUAGAGCGGCCCGCGUCUGAUUAGCUAGUUGGUGAGGUAACGGCUCACCAAGGCGACGAUUAGUAGCUGGUCUGAGAGGAUGACCAGCCACACUGGGACUGAGACACGGCCCAGACUCCUACGGGAGGCAGCAGUGGGGAAUCUUGCGCAAUGGGCGAAAGCCUGACGCAGCCAUGCCGCGUGAAUGAUGAAGGUCUUAGGAUUGUAAAAUUCUUUCACCGGGGACGAUAAUGACGGUACCCGGAGAAGAAGCCCCGGCUAACUUCGUG
rnacentral:rRNA from 1 species